rnacentral:rRNA from 1 species
GGGUUGUGAGGUUAAGCGACUAAGCGUACACGGUGGAUGCCCUGGCAGUCAGAGGCGAUGAAGGACGUGCUAAUCUGCGAUAAGCGUCGGUAAGGUGAUAUGAACCGUUAUAACCGGCGAUUUCCGAAUGGGGAAACCCAGUGUGAUUCGUCACACUAUCAUUAACUGAAUCCAUAGGUUAAUGAGGCGAACCGGGGGAACUGAAACAUCUAAGUACCCCGAGGAAAAGAAAUCAACCGAGAUUCCCCCAGUAGCGGCGAGCGAACGGGGAGCAGCCCAGAGCCUGAAUCAGUGUGUGUGUUAGUGGAAGCGUCUGGAAAGGCGCGCGAUACAGGGUGACAGCCCCGUACACAAAAAUGCACAUGCUGUGAGCUCGAUGAGUAGGGCGGGACACGUGGUAUCCUGUCUGAAUAUGGGGGGACCAUCCUCCAAGGCUAAAUACUCCUGACUGACCGAUAGUGAACCAGUACCGUGAGGGAAAGGCGAAAAGAACCCCGGCGAGGGGAGUGAAAAAGAACCUGAAACCGUGUACGUACAAGCAGUGGGAGCACGCUUAGGCGUGUGACUGCGUACCUUUUGUAUAAUGGGUCAGCGACUUAUAUUCUGUAGCAAGGUUAACCGAAUAGGGGAGCCGAAGGGAAACCGAGUCUUAACUGGGCGUUAAGUUGCAGGGUAUAGACCCGAAACCCGGUGAUCUAGCCAUGGGCAGGUUGAAGGUUGGGUAACACUAACUGGAGGACCGAACCGACUAAUGUUGAAAAAUUAGCGGAUGACUUGUGGCUGGGGGUGAAAGGCCAAUCAAACCGGGAGAUAGCUGGUUCUCCCCGAAAGCUAUUUAGGUAGCGCCUCGUGAAUUCAUCUCCGGGGGUAGAGCACUGUUUCGGCAAGGGGGUCAUCCCGACUUACCAACCCGAUGCAAACUGCGAAUACCGGAGAAUGUUAUCACGGGAGACACACGGCGGGUGCUAACGUCCGUCGUGAAGAGGGAAACAACCCAGACCGCCAGCUAAGGUCCCAAAGUCAUGGUUAAGUGGGAAACGAUGUGGGAAGGCCCAGACAGCCAGGAUGUUGGCUUAGAAGCAGCCAUCAUUUAAAGAAAGCGUAAUAGCUCACUGGUCGAGUCGGCCUGCGCGGAAGAUGUAACGGGGCUAAACCAUGCACCGAAGCUGCGGCAGCGACACUAUGUGUUGUUGGGUAGGGGAGCGUUCUGUAAGCCUGUGAAGGUGUACUGUGAGGUAUGCUGGAGGUAUCAGAAGUGCGAAUGCUGACAUAAGUAACGAUAAAGCGGGUGAAAAGCCCGCUCGCCGGAAGACCAAGGGUUCCUGUCCAACGUUAAUCGGGGCAGGGUGAGUCGACCCCUAAGGCGAGGCCGAAAGGCGUAGUCGAUGGGAAACAGGUUAAUAUUCCUGUACUUGGUGUUACUGCGAAGGGGGGACGGAGAAGGCUAUGUUGGCCGGGCGACGGUUGUCCCGGUUUAAGCGUGUAGGCUGGUUUUCCAGGCAAAUCCGGAAAAUCAAGGCUGAGGCGUGAUGACGAGGCACUACGGUGCUGAAGCAACAAAUGCCCUGCUUCCAGGAAAAGCCUCUAAGCAUCAGGUAACAUCAAAUCGUACCCCAAACCGACACAGGUGGUCAGGUAGAGAAUACCAAGGCGCUUGAGAGAACUCGGGUGAAGGAACUAGGCAAAAUGGUGCCGUAACUUCGGGAGAAGGCACGCUGAUAUGUAGGUGAAGUCCCUCGCGGAUGGAGCUGAAAUCAGUCGAAGAUACCAGCUGGCUGCAACUGUUUAUUAAAAACACAGCACUGUGCAAACACGAAAGUGGACGUAUACGGUGUGACGCCUGCCCGGUGCCGGAAGGUUAAUUGAUGGGGUUAGCGCAAGCGAAGCUCUUGAUCGAAGCCCCGGUAAACGGCGGCCGUAACUAUAACGGUCCUAAGGUAGCGAAAUUCCUUGUCGGGUAAGUUCCGACCUGCACGAAUGGCGUAAUGAUGGCCAGGCUGUCUCCACCCGAGACUCAGUGAAAUUGAACUCGCUGUGAAGAUGCAGUGUACCCGCGGCAAGACGGAAAGACCCCGUGAACCUUUACUAUAGCUUGACACUGAACAUUGAGCCUUGAUGUGUAGGAUAGGUGGGAGGCUUUGAAGUGUGGACGCCAGUCUGCAUGGAGCCGACCUUGAAAUACCACCCUUUAAUGUUUGAUGUUCUAACGUGGACCCGUAAUCCGGGUUGCGGACAGUGUCUGGUGGGUAGUUUGACUGGGGCGGUCUCCUCCUAAAGAGUAACGGAGGAGCACGAAGGUUGGCUAAUCCUGGUCGGACAUCAGGAGGUUAGUGCAAUGGCAUAAGCCAGCUUGACUGCGAGCGUGACGGCGCGAGCAGGUGCGAAAGCAGGUCAUAGUGAUCCGGUGGUUCUGAAUGGAAGGGCCAUCGCUCAACGGAUAAAAGGUACUCCGGGGAUAACAGGCUGAUACCGCCCAAGAGUUCAUAUCGACGGCGGUGUUUGGCACCUCGAUGUCGGCUCAUCACAUCCUGGGGCUGAAGUAGGUCCCAAGGGUAUGGCUGUUCGCCAUUUAAAGUGGUACGCGAGCUGGGUUUAGAACGUCGUGAGACAGUUCGGUCCCUAUCUGCCGUGGGCGCUGGAGAAUUGAGGGGGGCUGCUCCUAGUACGAGAGGACCGGAGUGGACGCAUCACUGGUGUUCGGGUUGUCAUGCCAAUGGCACUGCCCGGUAGCUAAAUGCGGAAGAGAUAAGUGCUGAAAGCAUCUAAGCACGAAACUUGCCCCGAGAUGAGUUCUCCCUGACUCCUUGAGAGUCCUGAAGGAACGUUGAAGACGACGACGUUGAUAGGCCGGGUGUGUAAGCGCAGCGAUGCGUUGAGCUAACCGGUACUAAUGAACCGUGAGGCUUAACCUUACAACGCCGAAG